UACGUAGGGCGCAAGCGUUGUCCGGAAUUAUUGGGCGUAAAGAGCUCGUAGGUGGCUGGUCGCGUCGGGUGUGAAAGCUUGGGGCUUAACUCCAGGUCUGCAUUCGAUACGGGCCGGCUAGAGGUAGGUAGGGGAGAACGGAAUUCCUGGUGUAGCGGUGAAAUGCGCAGAUAUCAGGAGGAACACCGGUGGCGAAGGCGGUUCUCUGGGCCUAUCCUGACGCUGAGGAGCGAAAGCGUGGGGAGCGAACAGGAUUAGAAACCCCAGUAGUCC
rnacentral:rRNA from 1 species